UACGAAGGGGGCUAGCGUUGUUCGGAAUUACUGGGCGUAAAGCGCACGCAGGCGGAUUGAUUAGUCAGGGGUGAAAUCCCAGGGCUCAACCUCGGAAUUGCCUUUGAUACUGUCAGUCUUGAGUCCGGGAGAGGUGAGUGGAAUUCCUAGUGUAGAGGUGAAAUUCGUAGAUAUUAGGAAGAACACCAGUGGCGAAGGCGGCUCACUGGCCCGGUACUGACGCUCAUGUGCGAAAGCGUGGGGAGCAAACAGG
rnacentral:rRNA from 1 species